CACCUCCCACCCGUGUUUAUUUUACCUUGUUGCUUCGGCGGGCCCGCCUUAACUGGCCGCCGGGGGGCUUACGCCCCCGGGCCCGCGCCCGCCGAAGACACCCUCGAACUCUGUCUGAAGAUUGAAGUCUGAGUGAAAAUAUAAAUUAUUUAAAACUUUCAACAACGGAUCUCUUGGUUCCGGCAUCGAUGAAGAACGCAGCGAAAUGCGAUACGUAAUGUGAAUUGCAAAUUCAGUGAAUCAUCGAGUCUUUGAACGCACAUUGCGCCCCCUGGUAUUCCGGGGGGCAUGCCUGUCCGAGCGUCAUUGCUGCCCUCAAGCCCGGCUUGUGUGUUGGGCCCCGUCCCCCGAUCUCCGGGGGACGGGCCCGAAAGGCAGCGGCGGCACCGCGUCCGGUCCUCGAGCGUAUGGGGCUUUGUCACCCGCUCUGUAGGCCCGGCCGGCGCUUGCCGAUCAACCCAAAUUUUUAUCCAGGUUGACCUCGGAUCAGGUAGGGAUACCCGCUGAACUUAAGCAUAUCAAUAAGCGGAGGA
rnacentral:rRNA from 1 species